AUUGAACGCUGGCGGCAGGCCUAACGCAUGCAAGUCGAACGGUAACAGGAAGAAGCUUGCUUCUUUGCUGACGAGUGGCGGACGGGUGAGUAAUGUCUGGGAAACUGCCUGAUGGAGGGGGAUAACUACUGGAAACGGUAGCUAAUACCGCAUAACGUCGCAAGACCAAAGAGGGGGACCUUCGGGCCUCUUGCCAUCGGAUGUGCCCAGAUGGGAUUAGCUAGUAGGUGGGGUAACGGCUCACCUAGGCGACGAUCCCUAGCUGGUCUGAGAGGAUGACCAGCCACACUGGAACUGAGACACGGUCCAGACUCCUACGGGAGGCAGCAGUGGGGAAUAUUGCACAAUGGGCGCAAGCCUGAUGCAGCCAUGCCGCGUGUAUGAAGAAGGCCUUCGGGUUGUAAAGUACUUUCAGCGGGGAGGAAGGGAGUAAAGUUAAUACCUUUGCUCAUUGACGUUACCCGCAGAAGAAGCACCGGCUAGCUCCGUG
rnacentral:rRNA from 1 species